rnacentral:rRNA from 1 species
AGCAACAAAUGCCCUGCUUCCAGGAAAAGCCUCUAAGCAUCAGGUAACAUCAAAUCGUACCCCAAACCGACACAGGUGGUCAGGUAGAGAAUACCAAGGCGCUUGAGAGAACUCGGGUGAAGGAACUAGGCAAAAUGGUGCCGUAACUUCGGGAGAAGGCACGCUGACACGUAGGUGAAGUGAUUUACUCACGGAGCUGAAGUCAGUCGAAGAUACCAGCUGGCUGCAACUGUUUAUUAAAAACACAGCACUGUGCAAACACGAAAGUGGACGUAUACGGUGUGACGCCUGCCCGGUGCCGGAAGGUUAAUUGAUGGGGUCAGCGCAAGCGAAGCUCCUGAUCGAAGCCCCGGUAAACGGCGGCCGUAACUAUAACGGUCCUAAGGUAGCGAAAUUCCUUGUCGGGUAAGUUCCGACCUGCACGAAUGGCGUAAUGAUGGCCAGGCUGUCUCCACCCGAGACUCAGUGAAAUUGAACUCGCUGUGAAGAUGCAGUGUACCCGCGGCAAGACGGAAAGACCCCGUGAACCUUUACUAUAGCUUGACACUGAACAUUGAGCCUUGAUGUGUAGGAUAGGUGGGAGGCUUUGAAGCGUGGACGCCAGUCUGCGUGGAGCCGACCUUGAAAUACCACCCUUUAAUGUUUGAUGUUCUAACGUGGACCCGUAAUCCGGGUUGCGGACAGUGUCUGGUGGGUAGUUUGACUGGGGCGGUCUCCUCCUAAAGAGUAACGGAGGAGCACGAAGGUUGGCUAAUCCUGGUCGGACAUCAGGAGGUUAGUGCAAUGGCAUAAGCCAGCUUGACUGCGAGCGUGACGGCGCGAGCAGGUGCGAAAGCAGGUCAUAGUGAUCCGGUGGUUCUGAAUGGAAGGGCCAUCGCUCAACGGAUAAAAGGUACUCCGGGGAUAACAGGCUGAUACCGCCCAAGAGUUCAUAUCGACGGCGGUGUUUGGCACCUCGAUGUCGGCUCAUCACAUCCUGGGGCUGAAGUAGGUCCCAAGGGUAUGGCUGUUCGCCAUUUAAAGUGGUACGCGAGCUGGGUUUAGAACGUCGUGAGACAGUUCGGUCCCUAUCUGCCGUGGGCGCUGGAAGACUGAGGGGGGCUGCUCCUAGUACGAGAGGACCGGAGUGGACGCAUCACUGGUGUUCGGGUUGUCAUGCCAAUGGCACUGCCCGGUAGCUAAAUGCGGAAAAGAUAAGUGCUGAAAGCAUCUAAGCACGAAACUUGCCCCGAGAUGAGUCUUCCCUGAGACUUUGAGUCUCCUGAAGGAACGUUAAAGACGAUGACGUUGAUAGGCCGGGUGUGUAAGCGCAGCGAUGCGUUGAGCUAACCGGUACUAAUGAACCGUGAGGCUUAACCUUACAACGCCGAAGGUGUUU